ensembl:lncRNA
GUGAGAGAGAGAGAGAGAGAGAGAGAGAGAGAGAGAGAGAGAGAGAGAGAUUUGGUCAUCCUUUGCUCCUCCUGUUUGCGUCAGAGUCUCAGCGGUGCGGAAGCAUUUACUCAGAACAUCGCACACCUGUUAAUCCUCAGCGGCAAAAAAAAAGAAAAAGAAAAAGAAGAAGUUGCAUGUAAGUUGCUGCGUGAACUCCAGCAUGUCCUUCACUCCAUCCAUCCUCUUCUGUCUUCUGUUCCUGGAAAUUCAGACUUAACACAGAAAAGGCACAGCAGGAGCUCAUACAGUCAGAGGAAGCAAGUGUUUGGCUUCAUGUGCUCGGAUGAAACACAAUGGCAACUUCCUGUUUUCUUUCUACUCGAAAGAACUUCCCACAACAUCAGAUGCACGUAUAGUCACCAAUAAUAAAUAAAGAAGAAGAAGUGAAGUCUAGCCUUCACAAUGAGGAGCUUUGACUGACAACAGUAGGCAUGUACUAUUCACAGAGGAGUUGUUUAUACAUUCAAUGAAAGAUUAAAGGACUAUGAAGGAGGACAUAUAAUAACGUCAGCUUCUACUGACAGCAAAGCUUGAAGACCCCAGUGGAUUGUUUUACCUGUUUUUUUUUUUUUAUUAUUAUUAUUAUUAUUAUUAUUUAAAGCUUUGCGUUUAGAUAUUUAUUGCACAGUUUAGAUGAGAGAGGUGUAUCUAUGAAGUGUGAGUGUGCAGCGAUGGAGAAGCUCGGAGAAGAUGGCUUUGAGAGAUGUGAACAGUUUGGGGACUGGUCCAGCUCUGAACACUGGGAUGAGGAUCACAGGGACAGCAGUGGCUUUGGGGACUGGGCUAGUUUUAAAGACGGACUCAGUGAAGAGAGUGAUUCUGCAGACUUAUUGUCUCAGGAAGGACAGACUUCUGGCCAUGAACACAAGGUAGAGAGAGGUGAUGAGCCCUGGAUUGUGAUCCAUGAUUGCUUUCAUGUUGAGGAGAUUGUGAGAGAUACAGACAUGAUGGAAUUUCUGCCACUGUCACAGCUACUGCACAAUUCCACACACACCCCUCCUCCUCCAGCAGUACUAUUAAGAAAGGGUGCUAGCUUUUACCACAGUUUGCUGUGUGAGCCGAAGUCUUCAAGCGUAACGAGUCCUAAACCCAAUUUGCAUUCCCACAAGCAGCUCACUGAUGCACUACAGCUCAAACAAUCCAAUACUUCACAGAACACGGAUUUACUUCACCUUGGGUUUGAGAAGCCUCAAAGUUCCUCUGCUGCUCUCAUCCAAACUAAGCUAACAGCACCCACGUGGUGUCAGACUUCUCCUGGAUUCUUCUACCAGAUCUCUCACCGAUGGCUCAGCCAGAACAGUUUGAGACUACAGAAUAAUCAGGACAACAAAAAAGACCUGCUGUAAUGACAGUGAAACACUGACUACGUUUACAUGGACAGCAGUAAUCUAAUUAUUAUCUUACUCUGAGUAAGACAAUAUAGUGAUUAAGGUGUUUACAUGAGUCGCUUUUAGAAUACUCCUUACAUGUUCCCGUUUUACAUGUUAUAGAACGUAAUUAGAUUAACGGUACAUGCAUUAUGUCAUCGCGCCACGCCGUCCAACGUUCCCUCCAGAAUUUCACAUAUCAACAUAUAGUUCAUCUUCGUUAUGGUACCGUAUACAGUUUUGGGUGUUUUUAUAAAAAAAAAUUUACGAACGCUUUAAGUGCAGUUAAUUAUUUGUCCUGCUAUAUGUGCAAGUAGACGACUGCUUGAAGCCGUGGGCUGCGUCCCAAACCGCGUACUUACCGUCUAUAUAGUAGCCGAGAUGCAUGUAUUUUUCCCCACUACAGGCCUAUAUUAAGCAAGUAUGCCGUUUGGGAAGCAGCUGUGCUCUCUUGUUCGCCGUGAAACGUUGAGCACUGCCGUGUGUGAUCAUGUCCUGUCGCAAAAUGCGGUGAAAACUCUCACACGACGUUAAUAGUGUGAUUAAGGUGUUUACAUAUCUGUAAUACACGUUGAUAAUGCGACUAAAACAGGAGUACUCCACAUGUCUUAAUUCCAUUAGUGUUUACUUUGAAUAUGACCUUAAUCAGAUUAAGGUAAUUAAAAAUUGCUGUUUACAUAGUAGUUUCUUAAUCACAGUAUUGUCUUAAUCGGAUUAAUAGUGGAUUAUUGCUGUCCAUGUAAACGCACUGACUGAUAAACUGUGCACAGAAUAACAUCAGUCUUUCUGAUAAUUGAGAUAAUAAAAACAAGUGUACCAACACAGGAAAAUACUUUAUUGUUGAGCUUCACACAUUAGGUGUCUAUUCUGAAUGCAAAAUAAAUUCACUCUAUAUGUACAGGGACAUCUCAAAAAAUUAGAAUAUCGUGGAAAAGCAGGUCCGGACUGGCCAUCGGGAGCACCAGGAGAAUUCCCAGUGGCCUGACAACUGAUUUGGCCUGCUGCCCUGCUGUUUUUUUAUUUUUAAUUUAUUUUAUAUUAUUGCAUGUCCUAUGUACUUGAGUUUUGGACUUUGGCAUUUGAUAAUAAAUCGAAAUAAAUCACUACCAUUCUCCUCAGCUCCGGUGAACAGUUUUGAACAGAGUGCUCAAUGCACAGAGCGAGGAUGGAGAGGAAAGGGCCAGGUGGAGCAGAAAGAAAGCCCUCUGAAAAGAAGCAGCAAAAAUGUAACAAAAUUACUGACCUGUUCAGGGCUUCAAGUGCAGGUCAGUCUCCUCUGUAAAUAUUGUAGCUUUGUGUUCGCUAACUUAGCUAAAUAAGUAUUAACCAAAGGUGCACUACUCACAAAUGUUAGCACUAUUACUAUCGUCACUCAAAAUAUGCUAAAGGACAACAUUAUCUACUGAAUAGUUAUAAUACUAAGUAAUUUAGCAGACAAAUAUCCAAAUUUAUUAUUUUAAAUGUUGAAAUUACACAUACAGCUAGGGCAAGCAACAACAACAAACUUUAUAAACCAUAAAAAGCAACAUUAUGCUCAGUAUUAGGAUUUUUCUAAAUAGACAUUUUCCUGAUGUAGUUAGUACUGCACUUAUUACAACACAUAUUUAGGCAAUUUAAAAAAUUGUCUUCAAAUAUGUGAGGUUGAAAAAAACAACAACAACUUUUUCUCCUAUUUUUCACAAUAAAGUGGUGAGAGUAAGCUUGCACUGGCUCAGUGAAAUGGUCACACUUGAGGGUUAACAUGAGAUGACUGGUAGAGGUAAAUAAAUAAAAAUUAAAUAUAAUUUAAUAUAUUUGUAUGAAAUAUAAUAUGGUUGAACCUCAGGUAUUUUAAGUAUUUUUAAGUCUCAAAAAAAAAACAUUGUCCUAAUGUGAUACAUUAACUUGAAAUGAUGUUAAUGAAAUUUAGAUUCUGUGCUCACAAAUUACAGUGAGGUUAAACAGUUUUCAUUUUCUAACAAUGUGGAGACAGUUCUAUUCAUAGCCUACAUUAAAAUGGCAAAACAAAGUCUCUCUUGUUUACCUCUCUUCUGCAUUUAAUGUACUUUUGUGACUGAAAAGUAGAGAGUUACUGGCAGCUUUGCACUACUGGUGUUUGUUAAAUGCUUGGCAUACCCAUGUAAGCUGAUAUAAAUUAUGACUGCUCCACUACCUCUAGGUUUCUUGUUUGUUUUUAUGGGAUGGCCACACUGUGUGCAAUAAAUUUAAUUUAGGAAAGAAAAAAUAAAAUGUACUUCUGUAUUAAUGUGCUGCUCUGUUUUGAUGCUCUGCCUGAAUUAGAGUUUCUGUUUAUUUAAUUUUAUUAGUGUUAUCUCCUCGGCUUUACCUGCUACACUGUUAUAUUAUUUGUUACAAGUCUUUAAAAGGUAAGGACAUUAUAUUUAUUAUUGUGCGCAGACUGUUUAUCAGACUUGAAGUCGGUAGGGGCUUUUUCUCUUACUGGAACUUUUUGUCUUGGUAAUUUUGUUGGUUAGUUCAGCUUACUCUCCGAGUUGUUUUCACAUUGUGGACAACGUUCUGUUUUUGUAGGAAACACUGCUGUCUCAUUUGUUUAUGGAGACUUCGGGUGUGUGGGUGUUUGGUGGAUUGUGAGAGUAAGCAGAACAUGCCAAUGCUUUGAAGGAUGUGAACUGAGACAGAGUAAUGUUAUUUAAUUGCGAAUCUGUUUUUAGAGGAUUUAAACCUAACAUUGUGAACAAAUUAUAUUAUAGAAUUCAGGCAAUUUUACUGGGGUUAUCUCAUACAGUGUACAAGUAUUAAUCUGGAAAGACCUUUGUAAUAUUACAGUCUAAAACUGGAUUUAAAGAGUAGCAAAUCAGCAAAUGAAUCACUUGAAAAUGAAUCAUAUGAGAGUGUGAGACUCCCGGCCUGAAAUUAUGUCCCAGUCCAGCCCUGUGGAAAAGUAUCAUGGAACUUUCAUAUAUUCUAGAUUCAUUACAUAUAAAGUGAAACAUUACGGCUUGUCUGAAUUUUCCCAAACACACCUUGAUGAUCCUCAAACCUUUUGGGAGAAUGUUCUGUGGACUGAUGAGUCCACAGAACAUAUCAUGCCAAAUGAAAAUGAUUUAGUAGAUCAGUCAAAUGAGGCCCCACCUUGCAACAAAGUCAAGAUGUAUUGCCUACUGUUUUUUAGGUUUACACCAAAAGUCCCUUGUCAUCAUACUUGUCAGCACCAGCACUGAGAAAUUUAGGCUGUCAGUAUCUCACCAUCAUCUUUUCAACUGUUACACUAUCAGUACAUUUUGCAUCAUACAGUGAGGGGAAAAAAGUAUUUGAUCCCCAGCUGAUUUUGUACGUUUGCCCACUGACAAAGAAAUGAUCAUUCUAUAAUUUUAAUUGUACAUUUAUUUGAACAGUGAGAGACAGAAUAACAACAAGAAAAUCCAGAAAAACGCAUGUCAAAAUUUUAUAAAUUGAUUUACAUUUUAAUGAGGGAAAUAAGUAUUUGACCCCUCUGCAAAACAGGACUUAGUACUUGGUGGCAAAACGCUUGUUGGCAAUCACAGAGGUCAGACGUUUCUUGUAGUUGGCCACUAGCUUUGCACACAUCUCAGGAGGGAUUUUGUCCCACUCCUCUUUGCAGAUCUUCUCCAAGUCAUUAAGGUUUCGAGGCUGACGUUUGGCAACUCGAACCUUCAGCUCCCUCCACAGAUUUUCUAUGGGAUUAAGGUCUGGAGACUGG